rnacentral:rRNA from 1 species
UACGUAGGGGGCGAGCGUUGUCCGGAUUUAUUGGGCGUAAAGAGCGUGUAGGCGGCCAGGUAGGUCUGCUGUGAAAACUCGAGGCUCAACCUCGAGACGCCGGUGGAAACCGUAAAGCUAGAGUCCGGAAGAGGAGAGUGGAAUUCCUGGUGUAGCGGUGAAAUGCGCAGAUAUCAGGAAGAACACCCGUGGCGAAGGCGGCUCUCUGGGACGGUACUGACGCUGAGACGCGAAAGCGUGGGGAGCGAACAGG